rfam:Pluralibacter gergoviae strain JS81F13 contig_1, whole genome shotgun sequence.
AGGCGAUUGAGCCUUCAUCAAUGCCAACUUUUAGCGCACGGCUCUCUCCCAAGAGCCAUUUCCCUGGACCGAAUACAGGACUCGUAUUCGGUCUCUUUUU